rnacentral:rRNA from 1 species
UAUUCCUACGGGGGGCAGCAGUGGGGAAUAUUGCACAAUGGGGGGAACCCUGAUGCAGCGACGCCGCGUGAGUGAAGAAGUAUUUCGGUACGUAAAGCUCUAUCAGCAGGGAAGAAAAAAGGACGGUACCUGAGUAAGAAGCCCCGGCUAACUACGUGCCAGCAGCCGCGGUAAUACGUAGGGGGCAAGCGUUAUCCGGAUUUACUGGGUGUAAAGGGGGCGCAGACGGCGAUGCAAGCCAGGAGUGAAAGCCCGGGGCCCAACCCCGGGACUGCUCUUGGAACUGCGUGGCUGGAGUGCAGGAG